CCAAUAGCGUAUAUUAAAGUUGUUGCAGUUAAAAAGCUCGUAGUUGAAUUUCGGGAUUGACACAUCGGUCGUGCCUUAAGGGGUAUGAACUGGUGUAGUCAAUUUCUCACCUUCUGGAGAACCGCGAUGCCCUUAAUUGGGUGUCGCGGGGAACCAGGACCUUUACUUUGAAAAAAUUAGAGUGUUUAAAGCAGGCAUUUUGCUUGAAUACAUUAGCAUGGAAUAAUAAAAUAGGACGGCAUGAUUCUAUUUUGUUGGUUUCUAGGAUCACCGUAAUGAUUAAUAGGGAUAGUUGGGGGCAUUAGUAUUCAAUUGUCAGAGGUGAAAUUCUUGGAUUUAUUGAAGACUAACUACUGCGAAAGCAUUUGCCAAGGAUGUUUUCAUUAAUCAAGAACGAAAGUUAGGGGAUCGAAGACGAUCAGAUACCGUCGUAGUCUUAACCAUAAACUGUGCCGACUAGGAAUCAGACGAUGUUAAUUUUUUAAUGACUCGUUUGGCACCUUAC
rnacentral:rRNA from 1 species